AGCCAUAUCACCCUGCAACUCACGACUGGCAACCCACUGAAGCUAAGCAGGUGUGAGCCUGGUCAGUACCUGGAUGGGAGACCUCCUGGGAAAAACUAAGGUUGCU
rnacentral:rRNA from 1 species